UGGGGAAUCUUGGACAAUGGGGGAAACCCUGAUCCAGCCAUGCCGCGUGAGUGAUGAAGGCCUUCGGGUUGUAAAGCUCUUUUGUGUGGGAAGAUAAUGACUGUACCACAAGAAUAAGCCCCGGCUAACUUCGUGCCAGCAGCCGCGGUAAUACGAAGGGGGCUAGCGUUGUUCGGAAUUACUGGGCGUAAAGGGUGCGUAGGUGGUUAUGUAAGUCAGAAGUGAAAGCCCUGGGCUCAACCCGGGAAUUGCUUUUGAAACUACGUAGCUAGAGUUCGAGAGAGGUAAGUGGAAUAUCCAGUGUAGAGGUAAAAUUCGUAGAUAUUGGAUGGAACACCAGUGGCGAAGGCGGCUUACUGGCUCGAUACUGACACUGAGGCACGAAAGCGUGGGGAGCAAA
rnacentral:rRNA from 1 species